GCCAUCAUUUAUAACACCCUGAUUACACCCUAUCUCAUCUGAUCUCGGAAGCUAAACAGAGUCGGGCCUAGUUAGUACUUGGAUGGGAGACCACUUGGGAAUACUGGAUGCUGCAGGCU
rnacentral:rRNA from 2 species